GAAUAAUGAAUAUGUUGAAAAGCAGUGAUUUAUCCUGGAGUACAAUCCUAGGAUAUGGCGUUGGUCAUAUUUUUAAUGAUAUAUGUGCAUCAAUGUGGUUCACCUAUUUACUACUUUUUUUUCAAAAGGUUUUAUAUUUUCAAACAGUGGAUAGUGGAGUUCUGUUACUGGUUGGACAAAUAGCAGAUGGAAUAUCUACGACUAUUGUUGGAAUAUUGGCGAGCAAACUAUCAAAUUUAUUCUUUUGCAGAAAAUAUGGCGGGAGAAAAUCUUGGCAUCUGAUUGGCUCUGCUUGUGUUCUGGUCAGCUUUCCAUUCAUUUUCUUGCCUUGCAUAGGAUGCGAAACCGCCCUACGAGGAACCCAGAUGUUCUACUAUAGUUGUUUUAUCAUCCUGUUCCAGUUUGGCUGGGCGUGUGUUCAAAUAUCUCAUUUAGCAUUGGUCACUCAACUUUCAGAUAAAGGAGAGACGAGAACAUUGUUGACCUCCCUCCGAUAUCUUGGAACUGUGGUUGCUAAUGUACUUGUCUACGCUGUAACCUGGCUAUUUUUUGGUCUUGAAGGAGGAAACAAUGACAUAUCAUCCAAGGACUCAGAAAAAUUCAGAAAUGUUAUGUUGGUUGGAGUAGGAGUGGGAUGUGUUACCACUGCUCUCUUUCAUAUUUUAGUUAGGGAACCAGACACAAGAAGUUUUCAACAAGAGAGAACAUGCAGAUCUUUGUUAAGACCCUGACGGGUAAGACCAUCACCCUCGAGGUUGAGGCUAGUGACUCCAUCGAAAACGUUAAGGCCAAGAUCCAGGAUAAGGAGGGAAUCCCUCCAGAUCAGCAGAGAUUGAUCUUCGCUGGAAAGCAGCUGGAGGAUGGAAGAACUCUAUCCGAUUA
rnacentral:misc_RNA from 1 species